rfam:Pongo abelii chromosome 7.
UCUGAGACCAAGUUCAGUGCACCAUUUCCUUGUCUGUAGCCAUGUCUGUGGGCCCUUAAGUCUGCCACCUAAAUGAGAGCCUGCU